rnacentral:lncRNA from 1 species
AGAGACCACCACAGCCUGUGAGAGUCUCCAGUGGACAACGGUUGUCUGAUUGAGACUCUUCCUGGUGUGCUCAGAAAAACCUGUACUUUUUUUGUUUCAAUUAGUUUUAUAGACAUUUCAAGCUGGGGCCUGCAUUUUUUUGUGCAACCCUGGGGUUCAACAAUUUGAAACUGCUUCACACCAAGAGCAGAGAAACUCGCUCUGUGGUUAUCACCUCAGAGAGACACAAUACCCAAAACCUGAGAACAUUCGCCUUGUUUUGUUGGAGUCAACACAUCUGCCAGGUUAUCUGUCUUCAGUCAACAUGGCUCAUAGAAAUCCAUGCUGAAUUAUUUUUUAGGAAGUUCGGUUUUGUUGACGAUGGAGUUAAAUGUUAUUCGUGUUAAAGUGAGUCUUUAAGAAGAUGGCCGGCUGUGUUUCUACAUAGUUUUGACAUCUGUCUUCAUUUCUCAUUUUUCCUCUAAGAUGUUCUGCACAUAUUUGUCAAUUUCUGUGGUCUGACUCAGAGCACAGGAAGUGUGGAGGAGCUUGACCGGAGAAAGAGGCUGAGAACUGCUUCUCUUACCAAGGACCUUCCCCAAGCCAGGCAUCUCCGGAGAUGGUAUGGAGCCUGGGGUAGCUCGGCCAGGCCUUUGAUCACCAGCGAUGCCAUUGCUCUUCCCCGUUUCGCGUCUGCUGUGGCUUGCUGCUGAGGCUGCUUUCAGACCUCUGGAAUCAGAAAAGGAGGUGACUAUAUCAGCCCUUGGGGAUCCUGUAAUGAGAAUCAUGUGUAAACGGAACGUUGACGAAGCCACACCUGGGGCACAUUGGACCCACGACAGACACUGAUGUGGGAAAAGAGCCGGUACCUUUUGAACCUGACCCAUUUUAUGAGAAGAUGCAUAUCAAAACAAACAAACAAAGCAACAACAAGAACACUGUGGAGUCUAAGAUUGAGGUGUGGUGUCUUGAACAAAAGACAAAAGACUCAGCCACGCUUAUGCUAAGAAGGAGAGCCAGGGAAAGAAAAUGCUGCAGUCGCAGUCAGAAGGAAAAGACUGUUUCACUUUGGCUUCAUGUGCAUCCCCCAGAGGGACUAUCAUGUUACUUUCAAAAUGACUGCAUAGCAGAUGAAAAAUGAUUCUCAUCUGCCUAUGGCUGCUGGGAGGUGGAGUGCAGUGCGGGACUCCUAUGGGGAUAUUUGUGGCUCCUCACGUCUCCUGGACCCAGGGUACCAGGACAGUGGACAUAAGGGACAAUAAAGCUUAUU